UGGCUCAGAGGGUAAAGCAUCUGUCUGCAAUGCAGGAGACCCGGGUUCGAUCCCUGG
rnacentral:tRNA from 1 species